GGGUGGUAUCUAAAGUUAGUUCUCAUCUAGUAAAAAGAAAAACAAUCAUCACUUUAAUAACAGAUGGAAAAUCAUUCAUAUCGUCACUUUAGAUAAAUAUUUUAGUAGGGACAAGGGUAUACAAAAUUUGUGGAUAAACACUAUACUAUACAAAGGCUUUUCACCGAUGGUUCAUAACUUUUGUCAUGGUGUUGUAGACGUCUGAGAUUUUCUAUUUCCCGAUACUAAUUAUCUAUUUCAAUGGAAAAUCACUGUUUUUUUGAGAUAAUGGAAAAUCACUUUUUGCCACGGCUCAAGGAUAGGAAUUAAAGAACCGUGAGGCAUCAUCCAGACAUCAACGGUUCAUAACUCCUCAUUUGCACGGUCUUGUACGCAUGAGAGCUUCCCUCGUUGGACGUUCCACCACUUUUCUACCAUGGACAAUUAGCC
rnacentral:lncRNA from 1 species